AAAUAAUCAAAAUUUUCUGACGUUACAUUCAAGAUAUUUGUAAAAAUUGAUAUCAAAGUCGCAGCGUUGCCGAUUUUCUCGGAAUUUUAUCCCCAAACAUCGACUCGAUAUUCACCCGCGUUGUGUUACAAACUAGAGGUGGGCACUAACAAACAUUUCGUUGUCAAACGUUACAGUUACUUUCAUUUUAUUAAUAUUUUAUAAUAAUUCUUCGAUUUUACACUAUUUGAGUGACAUAUUUCUAUUUAAUUACGAAAUAAUCGAAAUUUUCUGACGUAACAUUCGAUAUAUUUGUAAAAAUUGAUAUCAAAGUCGCAGCGUUGCCGAUUUUCUUGGAAUUUUAUCCCCAAACAUCGACUCGAUAUUCUCCCGCGUUGUGUUACAAACUAGAGGUGGGCACUAACAAACAUUUCGUUGUCAAACGUUACAGUUACUUUCAUUUUAUUAACAUUUUAUAAUAAUUCUUCGAUUUUACACUAUUUGAGUGACAUAUUUCUAUUUAAUUACGAAAUAAUCAAAAUUUUCUGACGUUACAUUCAAGAUAUUUGUAAAAAUUGAUAUCAAAGUCGCAGCGUUGCCGAUUUUCUCGGAAUUUUAUCCCCAAACAUCGACUCGAUAUUCACCCGCGUUGUGUUACAAACUAGAGGUGGGCACUAACAAACAUUUCGUUGUCAAACGUUACAGUUACUUUCAUUUUAUUAAUAUUUUAUAAUAAUUCUUCGAUUUUACACUAUUUGAGUGACAUAUUUCUAUUUAAUUACGAAAUAAUCGAAAUUUUCUGACGUAACAUUCAAGAUAUUUGUAAAAAUUGAUAUCAAAGUCGCAGCGUUGCCGAUUUUCUCGGAAUUUUAUCCCCAAACAUCGACUCGAUAUUCACCCGCGUUGUGUUACAAACUAGAGGUGGGCACUAAUGAACAUAUGGUAAACAGUUACCAAUACUUUCCCGCCAUUUUGUAAAUUCAGACUUUUCUCGUUUCGGAAAGUAGAGGUGGGUGCGUCAGUUAUAUUUAAACUUGUAAUAAAUUCGUAGGUCAUUUAAAAACAUGCAACUACAUCAAUCUAGCUAAUAAUUCAAGUUUUUCUUUUCGGACAACAGCUCUGUUGGAACAUUGACAAAAAAAUACUGACAGUCUUACAUAAAAUUGAAGUUUACACCCACGUAUUCGAGAUAUUUUUAAAAUUAUUAAUAAAACGGUUUUGAAGUCGCGUAAUUGGGAAAAAAAGUGUUUUAAGAAAAUUACACGCGAAAAAAAAAACAAUUACUUCAAAUUAAACGAGUUCAAGAAAAUGGGGGUGAAGAAAAACUAAUUAAAUGAAGCAGACCGACGGCAGAAGAAGCAUUGAGUCAUCAAUGGUUAAAUAAGGAUACCGUACAUUCGGAAUUGCAAAUUGAUAAAUCGAAAUUAAA